rnacentral:lncRNA from 1 species
GUCCCCCUUUUUACUCCAUGUCUCCCUCUCUUGUCAUUUCAUCUCACCCUUGCCAUAGAAGAGGUUCAUUGAACCUAAACAAAGAGCCUCCUUCCUCAAUCUUAUUUCUCUCUCUUUCCUAUUAUAUCCUCACCUAUUUUCUCUACUUUUACAAAACCACCACCCUGUUCACUUUUCGCUUUUGCUUCUUUCCUCCACCGUGACUGAACCCUUCACCACCAACCACUGUGCCUCGUAGCCACCACUUUUCCUUCUCUUCCUCAUUACCGAUCAUUGCCAUUGUAGACACCGCAAAUUAUUUUCACCUCCAUCCCUCUUCCUUUCAUCUAUAUAUUUCACCUUUAUUUUGUCGAACCUCUACCAUUUCUUUUUACUAUACCC